rnacentral:lncRNA from 1 species
UUUGUUUCUUGAUCAGAUAAGUGUAGCCACUUAUCACUUUGUCUCUUGAUCAGAUAAGUGUAGCUAAAGCUAUCACUUAUCACUUUGUCUCUUGAUCAGAUAAGUAUAGCCGAAGCUAUCACUUAUCACUUUUCACUUGUCACUUGAUCAGAUAAGUGUAGCCGAAGCUAUCACUUAUCACUUUCCACUUGUCACUUGAUCAGAUAAGUGUAGCUGAAGCUAUCACUUAUCACUUUGUCACUUGAUCAGAUAAGUAUAGCCGAAGCUAUCACUUAUCACUUUGUCACCUGAUCAGAAGUACUCAAAUCCGGCGUUCCGCUCAAUUUGAUCAUUUAUUCAUAUAUCA